rnacentral:rRNA from 1 species
UACGGGGGGGGCAAGCGUUGUUCGGAAUUACUGGGCGUAAAGGGCUCGUAGGUGGCCAACUAAGUCAGACGUGAAAUCCCUCGGCUUAACCGGGGAACUGCGUCUGAUACUGGAUGGCUUGAGUUUGGGAGAGGGAUGCGGAAUUCCAGGUGUAGCGGUGAAAUGCGUAGAUAUCUGGAGGAACACCCGUGGCGAAGGCGGCCCACUGGGCCGGUGCUGACGCUGAGGCGCGAAGGCGUGGGGAGCGAACGGG